GAUGAACGCUAGCGGCGUGCCUAACACAUGCAAGUCGAACGUGAGAGGGUACUUGUAUCCUUGAAAGUGGCGGACGGGUGAGUAAGACGUAGGUGACCUGCCUUGAAGUGGGGGAUAACCAUUGGAAACGAUGGCUAAUACCGCAUAAGCUGGUGACGAUGGGAAUCGUUAUCAGGAAAGCUUUAGUGCUUUGAGAGGGGCCUACGGCCGAUUAGCUAGUUGGUGAGGUAAAGGCUCACCAAGGCGAUGAUCGGUAGCUGGUCUGAGAGGACGAUCAGCCACACGGGAACUGAGACACGGUCCCGACUCCUACGGGGGGGCAGCAGUGAGGAAUAUUCGGCAAUGGGGGCAGCCCUGACCGAGCAACGCCGCGUGGAGGAUGACGGUUUUCGGAUUGUAAACUCCUUUUCUCAGGGAAGAGCGAGGACGGUACCUGGGGAAUAAGUCACGGCUAACUACGUG
rnacentral:rRNA from 1 species